rnacentral:ribozyme from 1 species
AAAAACGAAAGAAACACAUGAUUGAUGGGAAAAAUGAUGAUUGAAAAAUUGGGAAAAUUGACUCUUUGGUUUGUUCUUCCCU